rnacentral:miRNA from 1 species
UAGUAUGAAGGGUGGUUGGUACUA